rnacentral:tRNA from 1 species
GGGUGUUAGCUCAGUUGGUUAGAGCGCUGGCCUGUCACGCCAGAGGUCGCGGGUUCGAGUCCCGUACAU